ensembl:lncRNA
CAAAUUGAAACACAUAUUUUUAAUGUUUGUUAUCACAACCUUUUAGAUCUCAGGUCACAGUCCUGUCAUGUGACAAGUCAGAUCAGCUGAUCACUAGGGAGCAGAUGAGACGGCUCUGAUUCUAUGUCAGUUAACAUUAAGAGAGCCCUCACCAGACUGGAACGGGUCUCAUGUCAUCACAACAGGUGUAUGAUGUCAUCGCAGCCGCAGUAUUGUCUUGCACAGAAUCUGAUUUCAUCACCUGUUCUGGGUCCGAACACGGUGAAGCAGCCUCGUGUUGAAACAGAGUCAGAGAAGAUGAACAGGAUUGUGGUUUUGAAGCGAUGUUUGUUCAUGACAAACAUUUAAUCAAUGGAGAACUGAAAACAUCCAAACUGAUGACUUCCUGUAUCUUCUUUAUAUACAUCUGUAUAUAUAUAUAAACAAGCUGUUUACCAGAUUAAUGUAAUCAUCAUGUCAUCCGCUCGGUACAUGGAGGUACCAGCUGAGUCUCCAGCUUCGAAUGAAUCUGGUAUCAGAUAAGUCUGGUACUAUGUAUAUAUCUGGUAUCAGGUGAGUCUGGUUCCGGUACUAGGUGGGUAUGGUACUAUGUGCGUCUGGCAUCAGGUGAGCAUUGUACCAGGUGGGCCUGGUACGGGUGAGUCUGGUAUUAGGUGGGUCAAGCUUCAGGUGAGUCUGGGUGGGGCAUCGGAGUAAAUCUGUUUUCUUGUCAUAAGCAAACAUCCCCACAGAGACGGAUUCUCACUGAGCAUCACAGAUCUAGAAAAAAACUGAAACUAUAGAAAACAUUGAGGGGACAUUCAUCAGCAGAACUAAGUGGAACCUGCAGGUUUAACAGGUUUCACUUCUUUCUUUGAUCACAACACCUUCAGAGUUCAACCUUUGUGUGCUUUGUUUGUGUAGACACACCCGAAGUAUUGGGUUAGCACCAUGUGAUCAUGUAGGCGGUGUCAUAGAGCUUGACUGACGAGUGCUAGGUCCAAUCAGAGAGUCCUCUGCCAGUGAAGGAUGUGUUGGCACAGAAGCCCGGCAGAGUCCGCAGACACGUAAUUACUUUCUAGAUAUCUAACACCAUAUUCACUUCCAUUUAUAUACUGUUGACUGGAACCAUUUUCGUUACACUUUUAAAAAUAUAUUUUGCAAAUGCAAAAAAAGGAAAUAUCAUUUUUUUUCUAGUAUGACUGGAUGAGUGAUGAUUUUGUGGUUCUGGGAUUAAUCACAGUCUGUUCAGCCUUAACUUGACGUGGAGCAAAUCUUUACUACUUUCUUUAAACUUGUUUUAACUUUGUUUUAAACAUCUUUUAGCAGCAUGCUAAACAUUAACUGGAACAUCACAAGAAGCGAAAGCCUCAAACUGAGUCAAACAUGCCGAAAAACAGCAGAGGCGAACAAACCCUCUUGUAUCAAAACCAGAUUUCAGGAGCGACCAUCUUCUUUACAACACUGCAGAGGAAACAGCCAACCACCAGAGCGAGGAAGCAGUCAUACAGCAGCUCAACCAGCACCUGAAGAGUAAGGAUGGAUCUAAAUGUUCGGGGUCCUCUUAACGUAACUUAACAAGACUAUCCAUCAUUCCUAGUGGAUGUGAGAAUAUAGAGUAGGGGUCUCAAACUGAAAUCAGGUGCGGGCCAGAUGCAGCCCACUUCGACCGAACGCGGGCCAGACCAUUACGGUGGUGGUGGCGCUGACGGUCCGAACGGUACGGUCAACGGGGGGGCUGUAAUAAAGUUGUUUUCCUGGAGUGUAAUGAACAUAAUAGCCUGAGGGGGACAGAACGGAGGCAGCCAAUGUCAACAGCUUUGCUGAAACCUUUAGUUAGUUAUAAGGAUGUUAUUUAUUGAACAUAGUCCAUAUUUUGUCCUCAGGGUGAUUAUUUACACCUUUAGUUUCUGGUUGAGGUGAACGACUGGUCUCCCAUUUAUUUUUACCCAUCUGUAACUUGAUGAACUCGUUUAUCCCUCAGACAUUGACGGAUGCAACAAAUCAGCAACAAAUAAACUGGGUAGUAAAGAAAAGCAUUAGCAAGAUAACUUUUUUGCCACCAAUACAGCAAGUCACGAGCGAGCAGCUACAAUAAAUAACGUUUCCGCAGAGAGCUCAAACACAAGAAGAAUACAACCAUUGAACAGUAGUUGGGUCUUUUUUUUCAUUAAAAUAAAAUAUUCAAAACAUACUUUCAUAUAUAAGCAAUAAAAAUAAGUAACGUCUCAACACUCCAAUAAUAACUCUUACAUUAAUAUUGUGCUCUCUGUGAUUCUAUCUCUUUACAAAUACUCAUUAAUUCAUAUAGAUAUUUAUGUAUUCAUAUAUAUAUUCCGGUUUUGCAUCCUCGUUCUGCAAGAACUGUUGACAGUGCAAAGACCUAAUUUAUGCAGUUCAUAAACGGAGACCUGAUCCCCGUGGCUGAUGGGAGUGUGGAAGGCAAUAAGUGGUCAAUGAGGAGAUAGCAUGAGGCUGGCUGUUAGCACCACAGGAGAUCCAGAAGGGCAAUCCACUUACAAAGGAGGGAGGAUUCAAUCCAGUGGAGGAAAGACAUUCUGGCAUAAUCGAUUCCAGAGGAUCAGGAGACGUUCACUGCAGAACUCCAAGAUGGAUCCUUGCUUCUUGAAUGUGAGGAGAGACAAUCUGGUCCAGAAGAUCUGGAAGGAUGUUCAACUCAAGACCAUCUUGGAGGGAGGGUCUAUUUCAGAAUUUAAGAAGGGAAUGUCCUCUUCAGAAGGCCAGAAGGGAGCAUCUACUGCAGAACUCCAGAUGGUUUAGAUGGAAUAGUCUGGGAGAAUAUUACCUUCAGAUGGUCGGGAUAAUGACUCCAGUGGUUCAGAAAGGAUGAAUCCAGAAGGGCUAGGGCAGAUAAGAUAAUCAGAAAUCCCAGAGAGAUUGUCCCCUCCAAAAAGCUAAAAGCAACCAUCCUCUCGAGGUGGUCAAGAAGGAUGACCUGCUCUAAAGGUUUGGAAAGGAUGAUCAUCGAACAAUCCACUCCAGGAAGCACUUCAAUGGAAAUGUGUAGAGAAACUCUAAUGUCUAAUGAAAAGCUGAGCUGAAGGAUGACAAGCAGAAAGACGGGACCGUGUAAAGUACCGGAGAUCUUUCAGUCAGGGGACAUUGUCCUUUUAUUCACGUGGGGUUUCUGGCCCGGCGUCGUCUUGAGUUUAGCGGCACAGAUGUAGAUUAGCUCAAGAGAGUCCAGAAUGUGGAUCACUUAGUUAAACGCUUUUAAUCCCAUCUUUGCAGGCUCUUUGUUUUUUGCAUGUGGCUGAAACAAGUUGAAGUCUGAUCCAAGCGGGUCCAGACCAGUCUAAGGAUAGUUGGUCACCGCAGUCUGUUUCUGGGCCAGGCGUCGCAGCUCCUCCCUGAUGGCCUUUAUAAGGGAGGCAGAGGUAUGGGCGGAAGGGGAGGCGUCCUCCGGUGGGUACUCAGGAGUCGGCGAUGUAAGAAGGAGAGGCGGAGCUGAGGGAUCCCGUAACGAGGAGCUGGGCAUCUGGAAAACUGAAGAAGAGAACUCAGGAAACGACAGCACCUGUAGGAAGGAGGGAAGAAAGAGGGUGAGGCCAAGGCCAGAACGCUAACCACUAUUCCUAAACACUAGAUCCAGAUUAAAGACAUGAAGAGAAACUACUUAGGAAAUUAGGGCAACAGACAACGACAACCACCAUCGCUGGUAGACUUGUAACUGAACAACAUGAAAGGUCUUAAGACUUGACUGAUAAGAACUGGUCCGAACUAAUCUGAACUGACUGCCCAGUACUAGUCUGGAUUUGAAUCAACGGGAUAUAUCUUGACAGGUCAGGACUUGUCUAGACUGGACUUGUCCAGUUUCUGUCAGCUCAGUGGUUCCCACCAGUGAACCACUGGGUCAGCUUAAGUUAACUAAGACAGAAGUGAACAACAAAAGGUGAUGAGUUGACUGAUCUCCACCCUUUAUCACCAUGUUUAUCUAAAAUAGAAACAACUAAACACAACUAGUUCAAAUUUGGUUUAGUCACACUCUCUUUGCUGGCUCCGGGUCUGGAGAGGUCCUGGUCUGAAUGGCGCUGGUUCCAGCUGGAGCCGGUGGGACCAGACAUGCUGCGACCCACCCCCGGGUACACACUGAUCUGACUGGACAAACCCACUUGGGUCAGAUGGUGGAGCUGGGCACCUG